CCUACGGGAGGCAGCAGUGGGGAAUAUUGGGCAAUGGGCGCAAGCCUGACCCAGCAACGCCGCUUGAAGGAAGAAGGCUUUCGGGUUGUAAACUUCUUUUCUGAGGGACGAAGAAAGUGACGGUACCUCAGGAAUAAGCAACGGCUAACUACAUGCCAGCAGCCGCGGUAAUACGUAGUUGGCAAGCGUUAUCCGGAUUUAUUGGGUGUAAAGGGCGUGUAGGCGGGAAAGCAAGUCAGAUGUGAAAACUCAGGGCUCAACCCUGAGCCUGCAUUUGAAACUGUUUUUCUUGAGUGCUGGAGAGGCAAUCGGAAUUCCGUGUGUAGCGGUGAAAUGCGUAGAUAUACGGAGGAACACCAGUGGCGAAGGCGGAUUGCUGGACAGUAACUGACGCUGAGGCGCGAAAGCGUGGGGAGCAAACAGGAUUAAAUACCCGAGUAGUC
rnacentral:rRNA from 1 species